GAAAAAUCUUUCCUUUUGAUUAUAAAAGAGAGGUAAGACUCUGAUAAUGUCAAAUAUGGGCAAGGUGGUGGCUUUCUGCGUCCUCCCUGGCAGGUGAUGGCAGCUCUGCUGGCAGGGUUGGUGAUGCCUAUCCUGACUACCAAUUAAACCAGUCCUUUUCCAGCAGCCUGGCCAGCGGACAAAACCAAGCCCUUCAGCAGUGACAGAACGGAACCAGUGUUUCUUAGUGAGUAGACGUGGGGCCAAAAAAGACCGGAUCUCUUCAAGCUCACCUGGCCACAUUCUCUUCCUGCUGCUCCCAGAUGUCCCACCAGACUGUCGCUCUGCGGGACUCAAACAUUUCUUGAAGGUGGGAACUGCGUUUUAACCAUCUUUUUAUCCUUCCACAGUACCCUCCC
rnacentral:lncRNA from 1 species